UCCCUGGUGGUCCAGUGGUUAACACUCUGCACAUCCACUGCAGGGGGUGCAGGUUCAAUCCUUGCUCAGGGAA
rnacentral:tRNA from 1 species